UGGGCCUGUUAAAGUUGUGGAGGGGGCCGCAUUUCAACCGGCGCAGCUUGACACCUCUUAGCGGAGCAGCAACACUUCGCAAGAAUCACGAACUCACCCAACCUUUUCCAAAGGGGGUGGUUCCGGCUCCCGCACAGAAAGAAGCUCGGGAAGAUUCCCCCGACCCGCCCUCAAGAGGCCCCCAUGGCGCAUUGGCAACUGAACCCUGGUGCAGCAAACUUCCUGGUACCGCCUUCAGCUCUUGUUCUCAGUUUUUUCCUCAGAAAGCAAGAACACUUCAGGCACGCAGCAGGGCAAAGUGGAGACACUCAUUUUGCACUGGAACUGGAACAGUACCUCUCUGACUGACAAUUUGGGAGGGAAAGUGGAGAUUGGGUUCACCAAACAGCUAACCAGGAAGGUUUCAACUGUGUCUUGUCUGUGCAUGUGCAGCCCUAGCCACUCUGGGGUUAUUCUGUUUGAUCAUAGCCAUUAAUUACAUGUUCUCUUGCUAAGGAACAAGGUGGAAAAAUA